UACGUAGGGGGCAAGCGUUGUCCGGAUUUAUUGGGCGUAAAGAGCGUGUAGGCGGCUAGGUAGGUCCGUUGUGAAAACUCGAGGCUCAACCUCGAGACGUCGAUGGAAACCAUCUAGCUAGAGUCCGGAAGAGGAGAGUGGAAUUCCUGGUGUAGCGGUGAAAUGCGCAGAUAUCAGGAAGAACACCCGUGGCGAAGGCGGCUCUCUGGUACGUGACUGACGCUGGGACGCGAAAGCGUGGGGAGCGAACAGG
rnacentral:rRNA from 1 species